rnacentral:lncRNA from 1 species
AACAUCUAAUAUUUUUAUCUUAUUGGAUUAUUGGAGAUGGAAUGAGAUGCUUCCAGUGAAUUGACAGCACUAGUCCAAAUACUGAAGCUAGUUUUUUUAUUAAAUUGUAUUAAUAGCAGGUUUAUUUUGACUUCCAUAUAUUCAAUGUAACGUUCCGAAGUUUUUCCUAGCUAAAUUCCCUCCUAAAGUAUCACGCAUGGGUUUCUAGAGUGAUUUAUAUUCAUUUUCUUGUGGAAUUCCUUAAAUUUCAACUUUUCAUCACAUAAAUGAAGUUUCCGUCGACAUAAGAUUCGUUCAAAACGGACACUCAGUGAAGGAGUUAUGGUUAAUCUUAGUCCUAGUCGUAAAACAUCAUCAUCUGGGGGCUUGACGCAUCGCGGAGGGGGCUUUUUUAGCAAUUGUCAAAUUUCAGUAACAUAACGCGAUGGUGGCGCGUCAUGCUAAAGUUCCAGGUCCCAACCAGUAGGACAACACGAUGACUCCGCAUCGCGGUGACCUUAAAAAUUUCGUUCGCCAAUUUCCAAUGAGCCACCGCGAUUGUGGCGCGUCGCUGUGGCCCACGAAAUCGGGCUCCCAGUUAUUCUAAUACUCGUCUCAUUAAGGAUAUUUGGGGUAUUUUCCAACCCUUUAUCAUCUCUAACACGGGAUUUAAUCCCAAGAACCUCAAAGUAAGUGUAUUUUCAUCAAAAUCUCUCAAGAAACUCCACUAGGGUUUCAAACUAAAAAUCCUCAUAGCUCAGGAUUUAACCGUGAGUUUUAGAAGAUAAUUGGAGAUUUGGAAUCCUCGCAUCGUAGGCUUCAAGGAGCAUCCUUUAAUUUCUGAAAUAGAGGUACGUGGGGUUGUCCUAAAUUUCAUGAGCAUGAUUUUGAAAAGAAUUUACACAAGACUUUACUAUCUAUACAUUUACAUAUGCUUUUACAAGUGGGGUUUUGUUUUAAUAUCAAUAACUUGUUUUGUGAUAUGAUUUUUGAAAGAAAUAUUGAAAUAUCAUGGGGUUGUCUGUUUGAAUAUAUGUCCAUGGUUGAAUUGUGAACAUGUGAUCUGAAUUUCGAAAGGAUGUAAUGUGUAUAGAUUGUGAAUUCUUUAAAUCCCCCAUGAUAAUGUCUUAUACCCCAUAUUACACUUGUGUUAAACUAUUGAGAGCAUGAGUUUUGUAAUUGAUAUGAUAGUACUCAUAAAUGAUGAAGCUUCUUGAACUAUUACAUGUUGAGAACUAUGGUGUAUGUGUUUGAUGUGUGUGAAAGUCUUAUAUAUGUGUGUGGUGUAAAUGGCAUGAGAAAUUGGAGAAUUGAUGUGAUACUGAUGACUUGAAAGUCGGGUAUGACGAUACCCUGCAGAGUAUGAUAUGUGAUUGAUUGAAUUGAGCUUAAUGCUUGAUUUUAUGUGAGUUAGGUGGUUACUCGAAGAAAGCUCGGGUCGAAUGACUCUAUGCUGGAAAUCGUGAAUUGCCGACACGGAAAACUUGGUACCAUGCUGUGUGAUCUUGUGUACCUAAUAAUGUGUUCUCUCUAUUUGGGACAAAUGGUUAGGAGCCCUGCUUUGUGAUCUUGAGCCCGACCCUGACACAUGGACUUGAUUUGGAUGGAGACACCCUGCUGUGCGAUCUCGUGUGUCUUUCUCUCCCCACUAAUACUCAGGUCUUGACGGCAAUCGGGAUUUGACAGUUGAAGGGUGUACCACCUAGCUCAAUCGUGUUACCUUUUUGUUGAAAAAUCAUUAUACUAUGCCCAUGUGUUUUUGAACUAUUUUACGAUAACAUGUUUUCUAGCAUCUCUCAUUUAUGUUGUAUAAAAACCUCUAUUUCAUUUUUGGAUUACUCUACGUACCAGUACAUCUGUAUUGACCCCCUCCUUCCUCCAGGUUCUAAGGCUCAAUCUAGAGGUUCAGAAAAGCAGUAGAUUUUAUCGAACAGAGUUGUUGUGUCCAGUUGGUGAGCCUUCUAUAUUUCAGAAGCCUAUUUACAUCCAGACAAUUGUUAUUAGUUAUAUUUUGGUCUACUGCGGGCCUUGUCUCAGUUUUCAGAUUGUGUUAGUAAUCAUGUAGUAGAGAUUUCGCAGACGGUUUUCUAGAAGGGUGUUAGACGAUUUUGGAUUGUUAUUUCUAUUAUCGAGUUCAUAUCAG